rnacentral:rRNA from 1 species
UACGUAGGGUGCGAGCGUUAAUCGGAAUUACGGGGCGUAAAGGGUGUGUAGGCGGUUGUUUAAGUUUGGUGUGAAAUCUCCCGGCUCAACUGGGAGGGUGCGCCGAAUACUGAAUGACUUGGAGUGCGGGAGAGGAAAGUGGAAUUCCUGGUGUAGCGGUGAAAUGCGCAGAUAUCAGGAGGAACACCGAUUGCGAAGGCAGCUCGCUGGGACGUAACUGACGCUGAGACGCGAAAGCGUGGGGAGCAAACAGG